UACGAAGGGGGCUAGCGUUGCUCGGAAUGACUGGGCGUAAAGGGCGCGUAGGUGGCGCGGGCAGUCAACGGUGAAAGUUCGGGGCUCAACCCUGAAUCGGCCGUCGAUACUCCCGUGCUUGAGCACUGUAGAGGCAGAUGGAAUUCCGGGUGUAGCGGUGGAAUGCGUAGAGAUCCGGAAGAACACCGGUGGCGAAGGCGGUCUGCUGGGCAGUAGCUGACACUGAGGCGCGACAGCGUGGGGAGCAAACAGG
rnacentral:rRNA from 1 species